AUCGGUGCACAUUGAAUACAAUGAGCUAAUAAAAACAACUUAAAUGAAGUGUAUUUAUUUAUUGUCAUAUUUAGAUAUUUAACUGUGCGUGGCUAAGUGUGGCCCUUUAUUGAUUAUGAUUAUGAUUAUGGUUCGUCUGUUGACUAGCAAUCAACCCUCCAGCUAUAUUAACACAGUGGUAAAAAGGACAAGAAACGAUGACGAUGGUCGACAGUGAAAGGAGAGGUAAACAGAGACAGAAGGGGCGAGCGAGCCAACCAUUAUUUAUUGAAGGUUUGAAUAAAUAAAAUGGAGUUUUACAAUGGGUAAAGGGUCAAGCAAGAGAUGUCAAGCCAGAAAAGGACAAAAACAGGAAAAUUUAAAUCUAACUGGACUAAAAAAAGGCCGCAUGAGUGAAACUGAGCAUUCCGUCUAAGCUUGCAAACUAAAUUUUAAAUUGUCAGUCACUCAUGAUAAUAUAGUAAUAAUUAACUUAUAAUCUUAGUUUCACUCUUCUGUCUUUUCUUUAUUUUGCCCUUUCAACGUUUUGACUCUGUAAAAAGGGUUACCAAUAGACGCCAACAGGUUAAAGUUAACAUGGAUCUGUUAAGAGCAAUUUACGGUAAAAUGUCUAAAAGUUGAUUGUGAUAACAUAGAUUCAGUAACAGCAACUUGUGACUGUACGAAAAUUUGACCUGAACAAAGUACUAUUAACAUUGUUUUAACUCGCUUCUCUUAAUAGUGUCACUUUUUGUUUAUGGUUUGAACAAUGCUGGAAAACAAAAAUUUAUCCCCAAUCGAGUUAAUGUUUGUUACCUGUAAAUUAACUAGAUGAACCUUUUAUUUUCAACAGCAAAAAUGACUUCAAAGAUGACUGGCGAGAUAACAUGCUACUCAGACCUUUGUCAACCCAAUUCCAAUCUCGACUCUUGUAAUAAAAAUACAAAGUAAUCAACUAAAAUUUGUUAAACUUGA